rnacentral:rRNA from 1 species
UACGUAGGGGCAAGCGUUAUCCGGAUUUACUGGGUGUAAAGGGAGCGCAGACGGCAGCGCAAGUCUGAUGUGAAAUCCCGGGGCUCAACCCCGGAACUGCAUUGGAAACUGCGCAGCUCGGGUAUCGGAGAGGUAAGCGGAAUUCCUAGUGUAGCGGUGAAAUGCGUAGAUAUUAGGAGGAACACCGGCGGCGAAGGCGGCUUACUGGACGAAGACUGACGUUGAGGCUCGAAAGCGUGGGGAGCAAACAGGAUUAGAUACCCUGGUAGUCCCU